rnacentral:lncRNA from 1 species
CAAAGUGCUGGGAUUACAGGCAUGAGCCACCGUGUCCACCCCAUACAUUUUAUUUAUUUAGACAUACUGUCUCAUUUUUACUUACAUAACUUUACCUGUGCUCUUUAUUUCUUCAUGUGGAUUUGAAUUACUCUCUUGUCUUCAUUUCAGCUGGAAGGACUCUGUUUAGUGUUCUGAUGGGGCUAGUCUGACAGCAAUGAAUUCUCUCAAAUGUUGUCUAUCUGGGAAUGCUUUAAUGUCUCCAUUUUUUGAAGGACACCACUGCUAGAUAUAAAAUUCUUGGCUGACAUUUAUUUUUCCUUUCAGAACUUUGAAUAUGUCAUCCCACUGCCUUUUGGCCUCCAUGGAUUCUUCCUUUCAGCUUUAUUGUGGUAUAACUAACAAACAGCAUUGUUUAUAUUUUAAAUAUACAGUUUGUUGAUUUGAUACACAUAUGCAUUGUGAAAUGAUUACCACAAUCAAGUCCAUUAAGACAUUCAUCACAUUAUGGUUACUUUUUUGAAAUGAGAAUUCUUAAGAUCUGCUCUCUUAGCAAAUUUCAAGUAUACAAUACAGUAUAAUUAACUACAGUCACCAUGCUAUACAUUAGAUGCUUAGAACUUAAACUGAAAGUUUGUAGUUGUUAAUCUUACCAAUGAUCCUUUAUACAUGAUGAUUUAUUUCUUGCUUAUCGCUCUCAUGAUUUUUCUUUGCCUUUGGCUUUUGAUUAAUUUAUUAAGAUGUGCGUUUAUGCUACUUGGAGUUUAUUGAACUUCUUGCAUAUUUUGAUUAGUGUUUUUCAUAAAAUUGGAGAAGUUUUUGGCUAUUAUAACUUCACAUAUUCUUGUAUCUCCUUUCUCUCACUCAUCUCCUUCUGGGACUCUCUUUAUGCAUACAUUGGUAUUGCUUGAUAGGGUUCCAUAGUUCUCUGAGGCUCUUUCCUUUUGUUUUUUUUUAACUUACUAUUCAUCAGGCUAGAUAAUCUCAGUUGACCAAUCUACAAAUUCACUGAAUUUUUUGUCUGCUGAAAUCUGCUGUUCAGCCCUGUUGUGGGUUGAAUCAUGUUCUCCAAAAUGAUAUGUUCAAGGCUCUCUUACUUAGUCCCUAUAAAUGUGGCUUUAUUUGGAAAUACGGUAUUUGCAGAUGUAAUCAAUUAAGAUGAGGUCAUCUUGUAUUAGGGUGGGCCCUAAUCCAGUUACUGUUUCUCUUAUAAGAGCAGGGAAAUUUGAACACAGGCACAGAGGAAAGAAGGUCAUGUGAUGACACAGGCAGAGAUUGGAGUGGUGCAGCUGCAAGCCAAGGAAAGCCAAGGAUUUCCAGCAACCACCUGAAGCUAGAAAGAAGCAAAGAAAGAUAAUUCCCUAGAGCCUUCAAAUAGAGCACAGCCCAACUGACACUUUAACUUUGGACUUCUAUCCUCCAGCAAUAAAUAUUAGAUCACUUAGGAAUGAUAGAAAUAUCUGGUGAUGGAAUUUCAAGAAUGGAACCUCUGGCCGGGCGUGGUGGAGACAGAGUCUCACUCUGCACCGUGCCGGCCAGAUUUUGGUAUUUCUUAUGGGAAACCUGAGUUCCUGCAUUAGAGGUAUGUUCACACUGGCCUGUUGAAUGCUGUCCUCUUAAAUGUAUUUAAAAAUUAUCCUCUGUAUUUUUCGUAUGCGGUUAUAAAUGUGUUUUGGGGAUCUAUUUUAUUCCUUAAUUUAUAUAUUUGAUUCUAGCGUCAAGCAGGUUCCCUUUGAAUUUUUCCUUUAAAGAACAUGUGCUAUUUCCUAUUACAUCCUGUACCCCUCAAACUGCCCAAUUAGGUAUACUCCUGGGGAAAAUAUGGCAAAGUUUGUUGUAAUGCAGUUUUUUUACCUAAUUAAGUAGCUACUAAAAUAAUUAAUUUCAAAAAUUUGGAGCAAACCUAGAAAGAUGCAGAUGUCUUUGUGGCUUUUCACGCAAUCAAGUUUACCUAUCUUUGCUUUUAAUAUGUAUUUCCUCUUGAUGAAAUGUUUAUUUAGUUUAGUAAACUUGGGAUAUGUCAUUUAUAUCCAUAAAUCAACUUUUUAAAAAAGAGAUAA